rnacentral:rRNA from 1 species
AUGUACAUGCCUACAACAUAAAAUUAAUGUAGAUUAUCCCAUUAGAACUCUAUAGUAAGCAUGCUUAGGCUGGAGUAGUAUUGGCAUGGGUGACCACUCGGGAAGUCCUAGUGUUUUACAUG